rnacentral:rRNA from 1 species
AUGGGUGGGCAUGAGCCUGGUAGAACGCCUCAAUGGGGUUCUAACAAUGGUCAUAACUACCCGGGAGGUAUGCAUUGUCAGAACCCACAGUACCAUCUUGAUGGUGUAUAUUCUGAGCAGACUGCAUCAAGAGGUGGCAUGGAUACUGGCUGGAACCAAAUGUCAGGCGGCGGUACAGGUCAGGCACCUUAUCAGGGUGGUUGUUACGAAUAUCACGCCUCUUACAACACAUACUCAGCUAGAGGUCCUCCCAGUGUCGUUCAAGCUCCAAUGUACGACUCGGCUAGAGGUCCUACUGGUGCUCAAGCUCCAAUAAACUACCGCAACUGGAGCCCGCAAGUACCCGUUGGUUAUACUAGCAGUUACCAACACUCUGCCCCGGGCCAACUUACAUAUGUGCAAUGGUAUAAUGGGCAGUGCCACGGGCAGCAGUCAAUGAAUUUUCAGCAAGCAUACCAGUCUUACCCUCCACAGCAAGAUCCCUAUGGAAAGUCUGCUUUUGGUGGAGCUCAGCAAGGCUAUGGUAUUCCUAUGCCAGGCACAAACCACCAAGGAUCAGCUCCAGCCCAGCAGCCAUAUGCAUUACAGAGCUCAACCGUGCCACCUCAACCAGGACUUUGUUAUGGUCAGCCCUAUGGUGCAACUGCUGGUGCUACUCAUGGGUACGUGCAGUCUUCAAGUGGUCAUCAGCAGCCAGCGAGCCAGGUCACUUCGGUCUACACCCAGCAAGUGACGCAGUAUCCAUCGACUCAGCCAGGUUACAUUGAUCAGGCGUUUGCUAACAAUGCGAACUAUCAUCAACAGCCAGCCAUUCAUGUUGCAUCGGCUUACCCGCAGCAAGGAAUGCAGCCCGGUGUCUAUUGCCAGUAUCCAUCUACUCAGCCUGCGUAUACUGAUCAUGUGGUUGCUAACAAUGCAAACUAUCAACAGCCAGCGAGUCAUGUCGCUUUGGCCUACCCACAGCAAGGAAUGCUGCCUGCCGUCUAUGGGCAGUAUCCAUCGACUCAGCCAGCGUAUACCAAUCAGGCAGUUGCUAACAAUGCAAACUAUCAGCGGCCAGCGAGCCAUGGCGGUCCAGGCUACCCGCAGCAAGGAACGCAGCCUGCUGUAUAUGGGCAGUAUCCAUCGACCCGGCCAGCGUACACAGGUCAGACGGUUGCUAACAAUGCAAACUAUCAGCAACUUGCAAGCCAUGCCGCUGCGGCCUACCCACAGCAAGGGUUGCAUCCCGGAGUUUAUGGGCAGCGUCCAUUGUACACUGGUCAGGCGGUCGCUAACAAUCUGAUGAAUGCAGCCCGGUCCGUCGACCCAGCGGGUGUACACUAA